UGCUGGAGAGUUUGAUGGUGGCUCAGGGCGAACGCUGGCGGCGUGGAUAAGGCAUGCAAGUCGAGCGCAGGCUUGCCUGUGGGUUUUGCUCACAGGCAGGUGCUGAGCGGCGAACGGGCGAGUAACGCGUGCCUAACCUACCCUGAGGACCGGGAUAACCCUGGGAAACUGGGGCUAAUACCGGAUACACUCCCUCGUCGCAUGGCGGGGGAGGAAAGGUGCCUGUUCCGAAA
rnacentral:rRNA from 1 species